UACAGAGGUGCCAAGCGUUAGGCGGAAUCACUGGGCUUAAAGCGCGCGUAGGCGGCUGUUUAAGUGUCUUGUGAAAUCCCACGGCUCAACCGUGGAACUGCUGGGCAUACUGGACAUCUCGAGUCACUCAGGGGCGAGCGGAACAAGUGGUGGAGCGGUGAAAUGCGUAGAUAUCGGGAGGAACAUCAGUGGCGAAGGCGGCCAUCUGGAUCAACACUGACGCUGAGACACGAAAGCGUGGGGAGCAAACAGG
rnacentral:rRNA from 1 species